UGGCUAUUGAAAAUUCUGCAUUUCAGUUUUCUGGUUCCAAAAUUUCGUUGCUAACGUAUGAAACAAAGUUGAUUUUCAGAAGCCGGAUUGCAAGAAGCGAUUGUUGCCUGCUCAUUACUCGGUUGGAUUAGCUCAAAAACGAUUGGAACGUAUGAGCACCUAAAAAGAAUCUGGGGGAAGGGUGUUCUGGGCAGAGGAAGAGCACGCACCCUGGCAAGGGCUAGGCAACCUGGAGGGCGUGAUAGAAGCCUGGUGCCAGGGGUGUGGGCUGACAGCUCUUUCCAGAACCAGGUUCACAGCCACAGUCAAGGAAAUGGUGUCCUGCUUCUCAAUGAGCUCUCCACACCGGUUGCCGGACAGCUGGGGUGUUUUUAAAGGUGGUACAUAUUCUCUUAGUGCCAGUUUUACAUAUCUGCUUUUGCUCAUUUGUGUGGGACUCAAGAACAUGAGACAAGUGUUGAGUUUGUGCCGCAUCGUAAAUCAGAGGUCUAGAUGUGGCUUUUCCAUCUUCAACUAAUCCCCUGGGCCAUCUGGGGGAAUCCGCUGCCCUAAUGGAGCUGAUGGCAGGAGCAGGUAUGGUGAGCCAGGAAGCUGCUGGGAUAGAGAUAUUCUGGAAGGCCCUCUUAGAAGCUGAUCAGAGAGAUGUAGCUGCAUAAUUGGGAUCUUGGGAGCGUCUGGAUCAUGGAGAAGUUGGACUGGUGGCCAAGCAUUGACAUGAUCUAGGUGGGGAGCAGUAUCCUGGCCUUCUAGCAAUUAGCUGAAGGUGGCAACCCCGUUACCAUGGUGUCAUUAUGCUCAUCUGGUGUGAGGGGACCCAGGAAUGACAUGGUCUGCAAGUGAAAAGAGUCACUUUUACUUAGCUUUUUGAGGAUGGGAAUGGAGUUAGAAAACAAACAAGAAAACCCAAAACAGGAUGGAGGAUGCUGGGCAUUGUGAAAAUAGAAACCCAAAAUAUUGUGCAAUGAGAAAAUACAAGCAUGAAGCUGAAGCAGGAAGUUAAAGACAAUGAAAACACCAGCUCUAGCCCCAUCCCUGGGAAAACAAACAAGCAACAAGCAUAUCAACCACCACUGAAAAGCUUUAGAGUAUACCCAAGAGAAAUGUUUGCUUAUGGGCAAAGCCCAGACUCAUCAGAACCAUACAUCAGGCCCUUUGUGAUUUGGCCCCACCUGCUCAUUUCUCAUGAUUAAGCCCUCCCUCCUCACUCCUUCCUUCCCAAGUAUCUGGUGCAACAACCAAACCAAACCAUUAUCCUAAAAACCCGAUGUGUGCUUUCAAGCUUCCAUGAAGUUGUGACUUCUCUUCCAAAGGCUCCUUCUCCCUAUUUCUAUCUGGUGAACACCUCUCACUCUUCAAAUGACAUCUUCACCCUGCAUCUUUUCAUAAACACCAUCGCCUUGACCCUCAAAUAUUUCAAUGAAAAGACUUCCAAGGCAACAAGGAAUGUGAUUCAGUGUCCUAAGGAGUUGGAUGUCCUGGCUGGAGGGACCUUAGACAUCUCAUGGUUGAAUUUUCCUAUUGUUCAGUAACUGUGCGAUUUCCCUCCCUCCUUGCCGACUUUUAUGGAAAUGAUCUUCCUGCUGCCUGAAGUGUGUCACUCUGCAUCUUGCCAAGAAGAAAACCUCUCCAUAGAGAAAAUGACCCAUCUCUUCCCCUCUGCAACCAUCUGACUUAAUUAUGCACUGCGCUUGGCCCCUGGAGAGCCCAGCGAAGAACACGAGGAAGUCCUGGCUUGAUCGCCAAGCCCUAGGGUCUUUGUCAAUUAUCAUCUGGCACCCACGAGUCUGGCCAAAUUUACAGGCAUGUCUGUCUCUCAAAACAUGUCAGGCCUGAAGAGUGAUUCACUUUUUUUUUUUUUUUUUGGAGCCGCUAUAAGUAGAACAAUCUUUUCCAUUAAAACUCACUUUACUGUCUUCUCAACACCCCAGAGCCUC